GCCCCUUCAGCCCCAGUCGAUGAACGGGAGGGGAGGGUAGCCGCCUUCAGGAGGAGGUUGCAGUGAUGGCGGCAGGUUGCCCCAAGAGGCGUGUCCCCCCAGUAUCUUCCCUGCGGCAACAAAGAGGAAUGAAACAUUGCCAAUGCAAAAUCCCUAAGGGAAAUGGAGCAUUUGCAAACGGUGAACCCUAUGAUGCCCUGGAAGCUUAAGCACUUGAAAGCAUCACGACAUUUCAAAAUUCAGAGAAAGGAUCAGGAGCAUGGUUCCUGCAGGCCAGGAAGCUGACAACAGCUCCAAACCAAACAAAUUUAAGGUCUUUAAUCUGUACGCCCUCCUUCCUAGUCAUCCUGAGGCACCAACCGACAGGACCGCUUGCAAUUGAAUAGCCUCGAAACAUCCAAACAGCACACGAUCAGUCUCUGGUAGGCGCCAAGUCACUAACCAAUGGACCCGCUGGCACAUGAUGGAGUAAAUUGGAAUGUCCAAAUAGGAUGAUUGUGUCGCAAGGGCUCACAUCAUGGCAUGACAGCUGACUGAAGUGAGGAUAUGGUAAGCAUCUAGCUUGUCGUAUAUCACAAUUCUUUCUGUAAAGGUGGAUGCAAGAAUUUAGAGAUCUUUUGUUGGUUCGAAGCAGUUUGGGCGGAAAAUAUUAUGUGUGUUUUCUUCUAAAAGCAGGUGUUAUCUACUUACAAGUAGAAGUAGGUUUUUUCAUCUCAUUCAAUGGUCACAAAAGAAUUUUCCCUUCAUGGCAUGUUAAACAAAUAGAUGUCCUCAAUGACAACCCAAUUUUUUUAAAAAAAAACUACUAAUUUUUUUUUAAAAA